UAGGGAAUCUUCCACAAUGGACGCAAGUCUGAUGGAGCAACGCCGCGUGAGUGAAGAAGGUUUUCGGACCGUAAAGCUCUGUUGUUGGUGAAGAAAGGAUAGAGGUAGUAACUGGCCUUUAUUUGACGGUAAUCAACCAGAAAGUCACGGCUAACUACGUGCCAGCAGCCGCGGUAAUACGUAGGUGGCAAGCGUUGUCCGGAUUUAUUGGGCGUAAAGCGAGCGCAGGCGGAAGAAUAAGUCUGAUGUGAAAGCCCUCGGCUUAACCGAGGAAUUGCAUCGGAAACUGUUUUCUUGAGUGCAGAAGAGGAGAGUAGAACUCCAUGUGUAGCGGUGGAAUGCGUAGAUAUAUGGAAGAAUACCAGUGGCGAAGGCGGCUCUCUGGUCUGCAACUGACGCUGAGGCUCGAAAGCAUGGGUAGCGAACAGGAUUAGAUACCCUGGUAGUCCAUGCCGUAAACGAUGAGUGCUAAGUGUUGGGAGGCUUCCGCCUCUCAGUGCUGCAGCUAACGCAUUAAGCACUCCGCCUGGGGGAGUACGACCGCAAGGUUGAAAC
rnacentral:rRNA from 1 species